CAGGAGUUUCCAAAAGCACACGGGUGAUUAGCUGUGCUCUUUUCCUGUGCUUUACGCAUCUGAUCCUUUCUGAACAACUGAAGUCCAUAAAGAAAAAUAAGAGAUGAGACAAAAUGAAAGGAGGUAGAUGGAGAUUUUGCAGUUUGGAACAAUAUCAAUAGAUACACAGGAUGCAGCUCAGGAUACAUUAUCGUGUCCUGUCAGGCAGCAGGAGGAUAAGAACUCCAUAUUUUGAUGACACGACUAACUGGAUCAUUCUGCAUUUGUCUAGAAGCAGGUGCCAGCAAAGAUGGAUUAAAAUAUAUAUAUAUAAAAAAUACCUACCUUUUACCACUGAUAACUGAGUAAAGAUCUGAAGCCUGUGCAGAAGGGUUUUCGAAACAAACAAGUUGGAACAACUUUCUUUCAAUAUCAUCAAGAAAUUCCUGCAAGAUGCUACUGAUGCUAUUUGGACCAAAUCUUUCCAUGUGACUACAAAAGAGAAUAAAUAAGCUCUUAUGAAUUGAAGUUGAACUAAUGACAGCCUGUGUAUCCCAGAGCGUGAUAAAUUAUAGUUUGCUGCUGGCAGCAGGAACUGUUCAAACACAUAUUUCUGCAUUAUGACAAUUUCU
rnacentral:lncRNA from 1 species